UACGUAGGGUGCAAGCGUUGUCCGGAAUUAUUGGGCGUAAAGAGCUCGUAGGCGGUUUGUCACGUCGGCUGUGAAAGCCCGGGGCUCAACCCCGGAAAUGCCUUUGAAACUGGUAGGCUUGAAUGCAGGAGAGGGUCGCGGAAUUCUUGGUGUAGAGGUGAAAUUCGUAGAUAUCAGGAAGAACACCAGUGGCGAAAGCGGCGACCUGGCCUGACAUUGACGCUCAUGCUCGAGAGCGUGGGGAGCAAACAGG
rnacentral:rRNA from 1 species